AUGCUUUGGGGCUGUCUCUGUACAAAAGCUUUGCGCGAUGCGCCCACUUCCCUCCGCGGGCGCUGCGAGGGCCGGCGGCGCGGUGCGGAGCGGAGCGGAGCUGAGUUCCCGCGGUGUCCCCGCGACGGGGCGCGCUCAGAACUUGCCGCAGUCGUAGACGAAGGCCCCGGAGGUGCGGUAGAGCGGCUGGCUGCCGGGGAAGGCCAUCUGACAGCUCCCGCCGCCCCCCGCCCCGCCGCCGCCGCCGCCGCCCCCUGCCCCGCUGCCUCCUCCGCCGCCGCCGCCGCCGCCCGGCGAGGCGCUCAGCCCGAGCCGCGGCGCCUCGAACACCUCUCUCGGGGCGGCGGCGAAGCCCUGCUGCGGCCCCGCGUAGCCCGCCGCGCCCGCCAGCGGGCCCAGCUCUCCCGCCGCCGCCGCCGCCGCCGCCGCGGCCGCCGCCGCCUGGUUGAGGUACCAGGAGGCCAGGCGGCCCUGGUGCGGGUGCGGGUGGUGCCCCUCCUGGUGGCCGCCCGCCGCGCCGCCCAGCCCGCCGUGCCCCAGCGCCCCGCCGCCGCCGCCCCCCGCCCCGCCGCCGCCGCCGCCGCCGCCGCCGCCCGAGGGCAUCGCGUACUCGGGCAGCGGGUCCUCGGCGGGGCUGGCGGCCGCGGAGGGCAGGUGGCCGGGCCGGUCGGCGCCGCCCGCCGCCGCGUACAGGCUCAUGGCCUGCAUGUUGCAGUGGAUUACCCUGCUCUGCCUUUGGCCUCUGAGGGACAUAUGAAGUUGGUGGUCCCAGGAUUUCAGAGUGAGCAGAAUGAAAUUGCUGAGCCCUGCCGUGUUUUGGAACGAGAAGAGCACAGGCGCUUUCUUGGCACAUCUUCCAUAACCUUUUCUGUUCCACCCUGAGACAGUACCUUCUUUUACUGGGCUUGCAACAGAAGUGCUUUACACCUCCAAAGAGAGGAAACCUUAAUGGCAUGCCUGUGAGCUGAGUGAGCCUGAAGGCUGGCAUAAUGUCUCACUUUAUCAUUAGAUCAGGUCCAAAAUAUAUUCCUGAGGGCCAGACCCCGAGCACGACCUCUCCUGUCCCGAUCCAUCAGCACUCAGCCGCGAUCUUCCUGGGACAGGGGCGAGACGCCAGCCAGCCUUUAGCCCAGUCCCCUCUCUGUCCCCAGACACACACAACACUUAUGCUCAGAGCUCCUUGUGUCAAGGAGGUGGCUGCAGUGCCAGAACAGGGGAGGCAGAUCCACCCCUGCCACUCUUUUCUGCCCAUCCAUGUGUUGCACAAACGAAAGGGAUGGUGAGAGCACACGGUCUCCACAGCCACCUCCCUGUGCAGCCACCUGUGUCCUGCCACUGUGGCACUGCACAGCUGCCCCAUGUGCCACGCAGCAGGGGAGGCCUCUGCCCACAGAGGAAACAUCAUCCUGAAACACAGGAACGCUUCUGAGCGCCUUGUUUGGAAUCAAAACCCUUGGAUUUUGUUUAUUUUUUAUUUUGUUUUGUUUAAGGUGGCUGACUGUUAGCUCCUAAGUUCUUUCAGAUGAGGUUUUAAUCAGAAAUAGGCUAUAUGCAAAUAAAUAUGCUAUGCCCAGUUAAAAAGGAAAAGGA
ensembl:lncRNA